rnacentral:rRNA from 1 species
UGGGGAAUUUUACGCAAUGGGGGAAACCCUGACGUAGCGACACUGCGUGAGCGAAGAAGCCUUUUGGGGUGUAAAGCUCUGUCAGCUGGAACGAACACAAUGACGGUACCAGCAGAGGAAGCAUCGGCUAACUACGUGCCAGCAGCCGCGGUAAGACGUAGGAUGCAAGCGUUGUCCGGAUUCAUUGGGCGUAAAGAGUUCGUAGGUGGUCUGUUAAGUUUGGUGUUAAAGAGCGGGGCCCAACCCCGAUAGUGCACUGAAUACUGGCAGACUUGAGUGCGGUAGAGGUAAGUGGAAUUCCAAGUGUAGCGGUGAAAUGCAUAGAUAUUUGGAAGAACACCGGUGGCGUAAGCGGCUUACUGGGCCGUAACUGACACUGAGGAACGAAAGCCGGGGUAGCGAAUG